CUUCUAAUCAGGAAUCGAUUAAAGCAGAGCUCAGCUCCUGUGAUCACCACUACAACUUCCUGGAUGUUUUUUAUGAGCUGAUUCUCUUCGGCUGCUUUAUAAAUGGCUCAAAACCUCAGCCAUUUAAGGGAGGAUUCUUGGAGCGCCUGCUUGCGCUCUUCAGCAUGUGGGACGUGGACGUGUGGGAGCCUGCAGCAGAGCUGUACUUCACAGUGCUUAUUGAUUACCUUACAGAGCUUGUUGAAGUACUGUUCACUCAGCCUCUGGAGCUGACCAGUGACCCAGCAGCCUUAGCCACCACAGUUCAGCGACUCCUCAAGCUGCACGUCCAGCUGAUGAUGGACAUUUUGGAGGAGCUCUGAGCAAUGUCUUUCCCCUUACCCACUUCAUCUUUUCUUCCACUUCAUUUCAUGUUCUUUUCUCUCACUUCUUUUUCCUACAUUGCUCAGAC